CGCUCCUUGUUUUACCAAAUAUAAGGAGUAGGACCUGCCCGGUGAGAUUUUUAACGGCCGCGGUACUCUGACCGUGCAAAGGUAGCAUAAUCAUUUGCCUUAUAAUUGAAGGCUUGUAUGAAUGGUUUGACGAAAUCGAUACUGUCUCUUUUUUACUUUGUAGAAUUUGACUUAAGGGUGAAGAGGCCCUUAUCUUACUGAAGGACAAGAAGACCCUGUCGAGCUUAAAGAAUAGGUGGAGAAUUAAUAUAAAACUAAAUAAAUAGAUUACUAGAUAAUUCUUUUGGUUGGGGCGACUGAGGAACAGAAAAAGCUUCCUUUAUUCUUUAUAUCUUACAGGUUAAAGAUCCAGCUAUGCUGAUUGUAGAAAUUAGUUACCGCAGGGAUAACAGCAUAAUCUCUCUUAAGAGACCAUAUCGAAAGGGGGGGUUGUGACCUCGAUGUUGGACUAGGAUAUCCUAAAGAUGUAGAAGUCUUUGAGGGUUGGUCUGUUCGACCAUUAAAAUCCU
rnacentral:rRNA from 1 species